rnacentral:rRNA from 1 species
UGCAAGUCGAGCGGAAGGCCCUUCGGGGUACUCGAGCGGCGAACGGGUGAGUAACACGUGAGCAACCUGCCCCAGGCUUUGGGAUAACCCCGGGAAACCGGGGCUAAUACCGAAUAUGACCUCUGACCGCAUGGUUGGUGGUGGAAAGUUUUUCGGCUUGGGAUGGGCUCGCGGCCUAUCAGCUUGUUGGUGGGGUGAUGGCCUACCAAGGCGACGACGGGUAGCCGGCCUGAGAGGGCGACCGGCCACACUGGGACUGAGACACGGCCCAGACUCCUACGGGAGGCAGCAGUGGGGAAUAUUGCACAAUGGGCGGAAGCCUGAUGCAGCGACGCCGCGUGAGGGAUGACGGCCUUCGGGUUGUAAACCUCUUUCAGCAGGGACGAAGCGUAAGUGACGGUACCUGCAGAAGAAGCGCCGGCCAACUACGUGCCAGCAGCCGCGGUAAGACGUAGGGCGCGAGCGUUGUCCGGAUUUAUUGGGCGUAAAGAGCUCGUAGGCGGCUUGUCGCGUCGACCGUGAAAACUUGGGGCUCAACCCCAAGCCUGCGGUCGAUACGGGCAGGCUAGAGUUCGGUAGGGGAGACUGGAAUUCCUGGUGUAGCGGUGAAAUGCGCAGAUAUCAGGAGGAACACCGGUGGCGAAGGCGGGUCUCUGGGCCGAUACUGACGCUGAGGAGCGAAAGCGUGGGGAGCGAACAGGAUUAGAUACCCUGGUAGUCCACGCUGUAAACGUUGGGCGCUAGGUGUGGGGGGCCUCUCCGGUUCCCUGUGCCGCACUAACGCAUUUAAGCGCCCCGC